UAUGGGUGGAGGUGCAUGGCCGUUCUUAGUUGGUGGAGUGAUUUGUCUGGUUAAUUCCGUUAACGAACGAGACCUUAGCCUGCUAACUAGUCGAUCAAAUGAGAAUUUGUUCCGACUUCUUAGAGGGACUUUGUGUUCUAAGCACAAGGAAGUUUGAGGCAAUAACAGGUCUGUGAUGCCCUUAGAUGUCCUGGGCCGCACGCGUGCUACACUGACGCAUACAGCGAGUACUCUCCGGCUCCGCGAGGCAGCCGGUAAUCAGCAAUAUGCGUCGUGAUGGGGAUAGAUCUUUGGAAUUAUAGAUCUUGAACGAGGAAUUCCUAGUAGGCGCAAGUCAUUACCUUGCGCCGAUUAAGUCCCUGCCCUUUGUACACACCGCCCGUCGCUCCUACCGAUUUCGAGUGGUCCGGUGAACCCUUUUGGACUGCGCUGGGUCUUCGUGCUCUAGUGUGAAAAAUCAAGUAAACCAUAUCACUAAGGGAAGGGAGGAGUCAACUUGC
rnacentral:rRNA from 1 species